GACCCUGUCUCAAGAAAAAAAAGCCAGCAUCGAAAAUGGAGACUGAAAGCCUGCCAUUGUUUGUUGUUGCUGUUAACAGAUGAUCCAGGUAUUCUGGUGAUGCUACUUGUGCCGCAUGGUUAUCCUGAACACGUUUUUUCACUGUAUUGAUGGUAACUUGCUGUCUCUCGCAUGUGGUUAGGGAUUUCUGACAGUGAAUUACUUGAUCUUAAUCUGUGGAAUCUGAUAGUCCCAACCUGGAGAAGCUUCCAUCCAGAGAAUAUUUCCUUCCACUGUCAGGGAAAGAGUGACAUGCAAACUAAAAUAUGAACUCGUCUACAGGAUUUAAGCACAGAAGAUAAGUCCUGAUGCUAUUGCAAGGUUUGCUAUCCUCAAAAUUGUGUUGCUAGAGAAAUCUAUCCUUGGUAACCCCACUUCUCUUGGGUGCCUGCAUUUUCAAAACCUGCUCCUUGCCAUUGUGACUCCUAUCUUUUCCAACUUCCUGCUACUCUGCCAUACUCUGUAGACUCAGCUUCCAGUUCUCUCAAUAUUCCUACUUUUGUGCUUGAGCACUCCCACUCUAACUCUUAGGUGCUGAAGCCCUAACUUGUCCAGACUCUGCUCAAGUUUGUUUGCUUGUUUUGGGGUGAAGGGUUGCCAGAGACCACUCUUACCUUUAUUGAGAUCAUCAAUACCUCAAAUUACGUAUCUUAUUGACGGUCUUCCACUAAUUUUAUAUGUAUAUGUAUACAUAUUAUUUUUAAUAACUUUAAAGCCUCUACCCAUCAUACUAAUGUAUAAAGCCAGUAUCUCAGAAAAACCCUAGACCUCAAAAGAUGGCUGGAAGGUAAAUAAGAAUUCUAAAUUUAAAUUAAGGUUAUGAUCUGUGGAUUAGUAUUUGCUUCUUUGGAUUUUUCAUACUUACUCCUUCAGUGGCUUUGGGAAUACUGGCAGUACUUGCAAAAAUCUUGUUAGACUUGAAUCUGUACAGCAGAUUUACCAAGUCAAUAUAUGAUUGCAAUUUCCAUUAUGUCCUCAAUUUGUGUUACAGGGAGAGCAUGGAUCAUUUUAUAUUUCUAAAAUAUUCCAUUUGUAAUUUU
rnacentral:lncRNA from 1 species